AGGGCUAUAGUAUAGUGGUUGUACGUUCGAGAUCCAUGUAUGUGUCUGGUGAUACACAUUGGUAAUCCCAUAUAUCAUCGAGAGGGGCCGGUUCGAUUCCGGCUAGACCUU